GAGAAAGUUGAGAGAAAUAGGUAGGCUCUUGUUUCAGGUCUGUUGUGGAUAUUGUGACACAAUACAUUAGGCAAGUCCCUUGACAUUUCCUGCUAAAGGAGGUCAGACUGGGUGGUCACUAAUACCCUUUCCACAAAUCUCGUGUUCUGGAUGGAUGCAUUUUGGGACCUGAUCUAAGACAGUUGUUCACUUUUUAUUUCAGUGACAUCAUCCACUCAGGAGAGUUGGGGCGAGGCUGGCUGAGGUUCUCAAGGAGCUGAGUUUUGAGUUCAGGUGCUCGUGUAGCAGUGGAAUGAUGCCUCCUGACCUUUCAGACCUUUGAGACCUCUGGGCGGUCUUAGAAAUCACUUCAAGCCUCCAGUCCAGGAUACGACUGCCUAGGGGAAUUCCAGGGAAAGGUGGCAGAGAUGCCAUGGACUACAAGGUGAUGAAUACCACUAUGAGCUCACUACAAGAUCUCAAAGAUUUCAAGCCACUGGCUGUUACAAAGCAUAAAGCCACCCUUCUGGAGCAGCGGCGGGAGGCAGGCUGGGAGGAGGCCCCAAGUUUUGGCCAGACGAUAGACCACCUCCUUAGGUGUCCGGGGAGCUGCUGAAACAUAAUGAGGAAGAUGCUGCUGAUCCAAAGGAUAAAAACACAGAAACUAGAACCAAGAAGCACCUAAAGUGGACUCAUGCCCAGCAUCCCUGCAGACUGACUUUCUCUGAGCUAUAGUUCUGCAUUGGACUGUUUUUCCUUUGCUAUCACCUGCCCAACACACAAUCCUGGAUGCUUUUGAUUGGUUGGAUUUCUUUUUUUUUUUUCCUGCCUUUUCUUUUUCUUUCCUUGACCCUGGGAAUUAUAAACGAGAAAUUGCUUUAAAAAGUAUUGUUCUGUGCUAAAAUUAGCCUUGUUUAUGAACAAGUUUUAUCCCUAGGGAUUUCCUGAAUUGCAAUCCCAGAUUACCUUGUAAAUGGGGCUGUGUUGUUUGAUUUGUAUAGUACUGAUCUGUAGGUUAAAAUACGUUUCCUUUCUUUUGUUUCAUUCUUUUUUUAAAAGUCUGGAUCCAGGUAAUGGCCUGAGUCACAUUUGCUUAGCUACUGAAGCGAUCUCAAUAUGUUAUCGCUUAGAGUUGAAACAUAAUCAAACAUACGUUAUACCUGGGGCUCUUGCACACUAUUUGAUAUAUAUAUGUUACUCUACAAAGAAACACAAACCUUGUAUGUUGAAAUGUAAUUCCUGUUUGAUCCUGCAGCUAGAAUGCUAAAGAAAUUGCAAAUAUCAAAAGUGACUUCAAAUACCCUGAAUAUAAGCUAGUCAACAGUAAGUGGAUGGUUCCAGAAUACCAUAUUCUAAGACAAAGCAGGAAUUAGAGAUCAACUGACCUCAUCCAUAAUGUUGCUCAGGUCUGUCUGUGGAUCUGUCCAUUUUGGAGUAAAAAACAAGGCAUGCUUCUGUGAUUGUGUUUAUGAAAACUGUAGUAUUUCAGAUUUAUGUUUUGCAAUUGUGCCUGCCUUGCAAUAAAACACCUUCAGUUGACUCAGCA
rnacentral:lncRNA from 1 species